UCCGGCGGGAGCGGCGGGGCUGAGGGCCGGGCGGCUGAGGGCAGGGCUCCUCCCGGCAGCGGCUCCGAUCGCGGGUGCGCCGCCCCGAGCAGGCGGUGCGGUUGUCAGCAGGCACGGAUGACGGGGGUGGGCCUUUGUCAGGCGGCGGCGAGCGCUGAAUUAGCGGAGCUGGUGCCGCUGUCACGCCCUCUGCGUUAGAGCUGCGCCCCCUGCCUCUCCCUUUAGGGGAGAAGCUAGACGCAUUUACGCAUGUAAACGUGCAAGAUUUCUAAACGGAACGCAGAACCUCGCGCUCGCUUCCGGACACGAUCGCUUCUUCCCCAGGCUCGAUGUUUCCUAUCUGGUUUCUAAUCCUCUACUUCCAUCCAACAUGGAUGCCUUUUGGGUAUGUGAUUUUUGUGAGGUAUUUCACAGGCUUCACCUUUACUUACUGCUCUCACAGUGACCUGCUCCUAGUGACACACAACUCAAGCCCAGAAGAUCAAAGACAUGUAGAAACAGAAGUUAAGAGUUCAUGCAAUUCAUCUCCUUGCUUGGCCGCAUGAAAGGCAUGUUUCUCCCACAGACUCUCUCAAGGCAAUUUCCAGCAGUGUUUAAAGAGAAAUAUGGAACAGAUGUGGUGAAGGACUGAAGGACUCCGUGCUUGACUGCAGACUGGAAUAGCUCCCUAACAAAGCACACUCACCUCUGUUGUGCCUGUGUCCAACAUAUGAUCAUGGUGACUGAAAUCCCCAGCAUCCUUCUUGCGGAUGUUCUCAACAACAGUUUUUGUUAUGGCUGCAACAUCCAGGCCUAGGUGAAAAGAGAAUUACACAGUGGGGAUCAGAAAUUCAAAUUUCCUGCUGAAUGAAUUUCAGACUGGGGCUGUGGACCUUCUUUCUUACAUUACCUGUAACUGUUACUGGGCUGGUCACACUCUUACUGCCACACUAAAUUAUAGGCUUUUAAGAUACAUAAUUUAUUGCACGUAUAUUAGAUGAAUAAUAUCCAAGAUAACAGAAAACAUCAAACAGUCUGUGCUGGGGACCUGCAUGCAGAUAUGUUUGUCAAACUUCAGAGCAUAUAUUUAAGAUGGGCAGUUAGCAUUUAAUUUCUGCUAUGUUUGGACAUGAUCCACAAGCAAAAGUGGUAUUUAGCUUGUUUUAGAAAUAGAAUUGCUAUUCCAGACUACAGGAAGAAAACACAAUAUAGAGCACAUCUCACCUGCUUCUUUUGCUAACUCAAGACAGUGGUGGCGUUGAUCGCUUUCAGUAACAUCUUCUAGAAACAGAGCAUACUGGGCAACAGCCAGCUCUGGGGGCAGGUGGCUCACAUAAAAAGCUAUUAAGUCUGUGUGCUUCUCUGAUAUCAUCCGCUGAAGAACAGAAAGCAAAUAUUAAAAAAAAACAAUGUUCUCUGUGUACACAUCUAAGUUAUGAAUAUUAAAUAAUGUGUAAGCCAGA